UACGUAGGGGGCAAGCGUUGUCCGGAAUCAUUGGGCGUAAAGCGCGUGUAGGCGGUUACGUAAGUCUGUUGUGAAAACUCGAGGCUCAACCUCGAGACGUCGAUGGAAACCAUCUAGCUAGAGUCCGGAAGAGGAGAGUGGAAUUCCUGGUGUAGCGGUGAAAUGCGCAGAUAUCAGGAAGAACACCCGUGGCGAAGGCGGCUCUCUGGUACGUGACUGACGCUGAGGCACGAAAGCGUGGGGAGCAAACAGG
rnacentral:rRNA from 1 species